rnacentral:lncRNA from 1 species
GACUAUAUAUCGACAACCCUUUCAUUUAUUAAGUACAUGCGGAAGCAGUUAAAAUCCCCAGACAAUAAAACAAUGGGAUAAAAAAGCAAGGCCAUAUUUUUCAUAUUGAAACUUAUAACCAAACUUUUAUACAAAACACAAACCAGAGCACUUCAUAACUUUUUACUCUAAACUCUAUUCACAUCAAAAUGGAGAACUCAAAAGGAGAUAGAAUCUCAGUCGAACUGGGCCGUACCCAAAGCCCCUCUCAGGAUUAUCUUCUUCUUCCAAAAAUCCUUCUCCUCAAGAUUCACCUCCGAGUUCUCCUUCUCGGAUUCCUCCUCCUCAGCUUCUCAGCGAGGUCCUGAAAUGAUUUCCCCAAAUUGGGAUGAGACUAUGUCUCAGCGAAUUCUACCCCACUAAGCCUCGAUUAGUAAACCAUUAUACUAUAGGCUGCCUAAACACACACAGGGCAGAGGACUUACCUUAGCCUCAGAUCCCACCUGCAAGUCAGUACAAUUCACAAUAGGCACCCAUUUACUUCAAACAAAUCGAACAAGUCGAUUACAUGUCAUACAAAUCAUUCUCCAUGGAGGAGUAUCUAAAAGCUAGGCCACGUGCAUUCUCCAGGACGACAUUCCAAGUCUCCGAGUCCACGUGCCUCGAACCUUGGGCCCACAUGCAUUCUCUAAGGCGGCCUCUUCGCCAAAGUGAUACAUCAAGUCACCGAGCCCACGUGCCCUUUUAGAUGUCUGGGCCUACGUGCAUUCUCUUAGGUGCUAUCUCACCAAAGUGAUGCAUCAAUUCACCGAGCCCACGUGCCCUUUUAGAUGCCUGGGUCCACGUGCAUUCUCUUAGGUGCUAUCUCACCAAAGUGAUGCAUCAAUUCACCAAGCCCACGUGCCUUUUUAGAUGCCUGACUCUGUCACCGAGCCACGUGCAUUUUCCAGGAUGACAUACCGAGUCUCCGAGUCACGUGCAUUCUCUCAGGCGACCUUUUCGCCAAGUUGACAUAUUCAACCACUGAAUUCACGUGCAUCCUCCAGGUGAUAUUCCAAUUCACCGAGCCCACGUGUCCUCUUUCAAGUGAUUACCAAUCUACUUCCAAUACCAACAACCAAUGCCCAACGAUUUCUCAAUCAAAUAAUUAAAUCAACUAAACAAAGCAUUAUAAAUGCUUAAUAACAUACUUGGCCAUUUACCAAUCAACAAUUCAAUCUCAAUCAAUUCCAAUCAAUUUAGGGUAAAUCCCUAAAAUAUCACAAUUUAUUCAAUUACAUAUAACAUAGAGCUCAAAUAAAUAAACGGACUGCGCCACGACGAUCAGCACGAGAUUUUGGUCGUCGGCCAUCGAAAUCUUAAUUUCCGAAAAAUAAUUAAUUAAUUUAUUAAUUUCGAAAAUUAAAUAAUUAAUAUUAAAAAUUCAAUUUAGCUCAAAAUAAAACCCGAUUAAAUAAACGAACUUCACCACAAUCAUCAGCAUAAAAUUUCGGUUCCAGACCAUCUCAGUUGAAUUUUCGGAAAAUAAAUAAUUAUUUAAUUUAAUUCCGAAAAUUAAUAUUUAAAUAGUAAAAAUUCCACUUAGGACCGAAAAGCCUAAUUGAAGCCCACUAAGGAUCGGGAAAAAUCCUGAGGCACUUCCAAUAAUUAGUAGACCACGUCUACUUGCUAAUUGAGCAAUCAAUUUAUCUAAAUCGCAUCACAAUUGACUAAUAAUUACUAAUUUAUUCUAAUCUAACAACCUAAAUAUAAUUAAUUAAAACUAAACCAAUCUUAAGCAUAUUUAGCCAACUAAUCCGGGAUUAGUGAGAUUACUCACCAAAUCGCGCGCAAAUCAGAUCAAUCCGACGAGGGCGACACGAGGAACAACAAACUCCAAAGCACGGCUCAAGUUCGGGGCCCGGAAACGGUCCAAAACAGCCCACAAACCCGCUGGAGACCCACUCGUGGGUUUGCUGGUUCGGCUGCGAAACAAGGGAAAACAGAGAUGGUUAGGGGCGGAGAAGGGUCGGGAAGGCAAGCGGCGGUCCGGUGAGGCUGCACGGCGGCUCCGGCGGCUUGCUCGGCCACUCACGGUGGCUGGACGAGGCGGAACAGGGGCGGGAGACGUACGGGGGAGGCCUGGGCACGAGGAAACGAGGGCUGGCGGAGCACGCGGCGAGCGGCGGACGAGCGGGCGCGGCGCUGGCGGCGGGACAGCGGCGACGGCGAGCUACUUCGAUCUUCAGACGAUGGUGGCCGAUGCUUCUGUCCUUCCUCGGUUUCGGUUCGCAAAAACCAGAGAGAAAAAAAGAGAGAAGAAGUCGGUCACGUGGGGGAAAAGGAGAGAAGAAAGAGGAGAGAGAAGAAGGAGAUAAGGGUUGACUAGUCAAAAGAAAAAGAGAGAGGGAGAAGGUAGGCGGUGGGGGAAUCGCACGAAGGGGGGAGGAAAAG